rnacentral:rRNA from 1 species
CUACGGGGUGCUCCAGUGGGGAAUAUUGCACAAUGGGGGAAACCCUGAUGCAGCAACGCCGCGUGGAGGAUGACACAUUUCGGUGCGUAAACUCCUUUUAUAUGAGAAGAUAAUGACGGUAUCAUAUGAAUAAGCUCCGGCUAACUCCGUGCCAGCAGCCGCGGUAAUACGGGGGGAGCAAGCGUUACUCGGAAUUACUGGGCGUAAAGCGCAUGUAGGCGGAUAGAAAAGUCAGAAGUGAAAUCCUAUAGCUUAACUAUAGAACUGCUUCUGAAACUCUCUAUCUAGAAUGUGGGAGAGGUAGAUGGAAUUUCUGGUGUAGGGGUAAAAUCCGUAGAGAUCAGAAGGAAUACCGAUUGCGAAGGCGAUCUACUGGAACAAUAUUGACGCUGAGAUGCGAAAGCGUGGGGAGCAAACAGGAUUAGAUACCCGUGUAGUC